GCGCGCGGCAUGUAUUGAUUGAAUUUAAUUUCUAAUUCUCUUUUUAGGAAAAAAUGGAAGAAGUAGUUGAAAAACUUAGUGACGCUGUGAUAAGUAAAGAGCCUACGGAAGAGGAUAAAUCCAAUUUCGAAGGAUUGUAUAAAAACUGGGGUAAGCUAGGGAAUCAGGAAGAACGUCGACGCGAAAUAUUGGAAGUACAAAAGAGUAAUAGAAACACUAAAUUGGACCUGUGCCGGGGCAUAUUAGACCUGGUAAAUACAACAGAAGAAGAAAAUAUUUUUCACAAUAAAAACAAGGCAUAUUACAGACCAAAUAUUUAUGUAGCAGGGUUCCACAGAACCCCUACAAAUUACAGCAAUGUGCUGAUGCUCUCAGAGUGGAUGAUUGAGAAACCAUUUGACUUUGCUGAUAACUGGUAUAUGGUGCCAUGUCCUAAGGCAGUCAGGGUGCUUGUUGUCUCCAAUCAUGGUCGAACAAAGUGCUACACAAAGUACGGAAGUUUCAAAUUCGAGAGAUGUACGGCAUUACCAGGUGGCAACCCUAAUUGGAACAAGAAGAAGAACAAUUGCUGUGUACUAGACUGUUUUUACUAUGACAAUAAUCGCAUUAUGUUUGUAUUGGAUAUUUUGGCUUGGAAUUGUCAGCCUAUGACUGAUGGAGAGACUGAGUUCAGACAUUACUGGCUCCAAACUCAUCUGGGGGAGUUACCUGGCCUAAAGGUCAUUAGCAGGAUGAACCAGAUUAUAUUUAAAAUACUUCCCAAGAUUCCUUGUGAUACAGAGUCCUUAAAUAAUUUCUUGCAAACGUACCCGCCGUUUGAGAACCACAUCCCUCAAUUAGACGGCUUGCUGUUUUAUCAUAAACGAGCUCACUAUUUCGCCGGACAGACCCCAUUAGUGGGGUGGCUAUACCCUUUUAUGGUGCCUGAAGUAUUAGGAGAAGAUAUCAAAAUAUCCCCAGCAUAUGAGUUAGAUAAGCCGGAGAAUUAUACAGACCAAGCAGACUUCAUAAUUAAGUUCGAAAAGAAGUACAAUAAACGGUUGGCCAAAAAUACACGAAGAUGCAGUAAGAUGGAUACUGCAGAGGCUGAACAAGGGACUGAAAGAAAAGGCAGACACGUAGGCGAAGAUAAACAAGGCAAAGCUAAAGAGGACACGAUACAAGCUACAAUGGAAACAGGACUGGAGGUGCAGCUAGCACCUCCAGACUCAAAUACAGAUCAAAUGGAGUCGGAAGAAAUCGAGUCGAGUGCUAAAGAUUCGGAUGAAUUGGAGUCAAGUACUACGAACGCUGCUGCCGCUUUAGAAUGAAUGUUUCCAUUGUAGUGACUUUUGCGAGAGAUUUUUUAAAAUUGUAUAUUUAUACAUUGCUAUCUGUCAGAUCUUAUUGUAAACACCUUUUUUAUAUUGUAAACACGGUCACGUGUUAGAUUAAUAAAGCAUCUUUCGCAGUGAUCAAUUGGUAAUUUGUUACUAUGUUUUAUAACUCGUAUUAUUUGAUUCAAUUUAAAUAUUAUUUUAUAAGUAUUUUGAGGUUUAUAAUUAUAUUACUAUUUUUGUGUGAUCUUUAAAAGAUUAGAAACUGAACUCUUGUCCCGAACUAUUAAGAACUUAUGCACACGGCGUAUUUUAUACCCGCCGACCAGGUGCGUAACACGGUACACCGCGUCAUCUGCGCGUAUACGCGCUGUUAUCGGCGUAUGUAUCGCGCAUUUUGAUAUGUGAUAGUUUUAAUUUUAGCUUUUUGCUUCGUUUAAAAUACUCUGCCUGCAUAGGCUCUAAUAUUCGCAUAAUUAAGAAUUCAAAAGAAUAUAAAUAGAUUAGGGUUCCGUUACAGAGUUUCUGAAGGAGCCACAAGAUGUUUUAAUGAUCAUGGUCAAGUUCCAAGUGUAACACUAAUUUAUUAAAAGUGCCUAUCCAGAAAAAUACAAAACAGUAUUUUUCUCGUAAUGAAUUUACUUAAUGUGUACAGUGGAUGACUGUGUAAUCGUAAGUUGCCGUGUUUAUUUACGCCGUAAAACCCUAAAGAAUGACCAAUGAACCAGCGUCAAUCCCGUCAGGUUGUGGUCAAUACGUUGUUUACUAGAUCUAAAUUCAAGGUCACGUACCAGAGAUUAGAAUAAGGUAUAGUAUAUAUAUACCUAAACUUUAAGUAAUACAUAUAGAGUGCAUAAUACCUCUCUAAAAAAUAAAAGGUUUUUACUUACAAUUACGAAGCUUUUCUUUUUUU